rnacentral:misc_RNA from 1 species
GAUGAAGAACGUAGCGAAAUGCGAUAAGUAAUGUGAAUUGCAGAAUUCAGUGAAUCAUCGAAUCUUUGAACGCACAUUGCGCCCCCCAGUAUUCUGGCGGGCAUGCCUGUUCGAGCGUCAUUUCAACCAUCAAGCCCUGCUUGUGUUGGGGUCCUGCGGCUGCCCGCAGGCCCUGAAAACCAGUGGCGGGCUCGCUAGUCACACCGAGCGCAGUAGCACAUCUCGCUCAGGGCGUGCGGCGGGCUCCAGCCGUUAAAGCACCCACCUUUCGCAAGGUUGACCUCGGAUCAGGUAGGAAUACCCGCUGAACUUAAGCAUAUCAAUAAGCGGGGGA